rnacentral:rRNA from 1 species
GGGUCAGUAGGUUGGUCGUGCCACCGGUACGUACUGGUCUCACUGAUUCCUCCUUCCUGAAGAACCGUAAUGCCAUUAAUUUGGUGCUGCGGGGAAACAGGACUGUUACUUUGAAAAAAUUAGAGUGUUUAAAGCAAGCUAACGCUUGAAUACAUUAGCAUGGAAUAAUAAAAUAGGACGAUCGAUCCUAUUUUGUUGGUUUCUAGGAUUGACGUA